rnacentral:miRNA from 1 species
AUUAGGUUGGCCAAAAAGUUCGUUUGGGUUUUUCCGUAACAUCUUACAAACCCCGAACGAAAUUUCUGGCCAACCCAAU